GACGAACGCUGGCGGCGUGCUUAACACAUGCAAGUCGAACGGAAAGGCCCUGCUUUUGUGGGGUGCUCGAGUGGCGAACGGGUGAGUAACCCGUGAGUAACCUGCCCUUGACUUUGGGAUAACUUCAGGAAACUGGGGCUAAUACCGGAUAGGAGCUCCUGCUGCAUGGUGGGGGUUGGAAAGUUUCGGCGGUUGGGGAUGGACUCGCGGCUUAUCAGCUUGUUGGUGGGGUAGUGGCUUACCAAGGCUUUGACGGGUAGCCGGCCUGAGAGGGUGACCGGCCACAUUGGGACUGAGAUACGGCCCAGACUCCUACGGGAGGCAGCAGUAGGGAAUAUUGCACAAUGGGCGGAAGCCUGAUGCAGCAACGCCGCGUGCGGGAUGACGGCCUUCGGGUUGUAAACCGCUUUCGCCUGUGACGAAGCGUGAGUGACGGUAAUGGGUAAAGAAGCACCGGCUAACUACGUG
rnacentral:rRNA from 1 species